UCCUGCCUUAGUUCAGUUCCUUAGUUGGUCAUUGUGUUAGAAUGUUUCUGUUUGUUACACUGCAUUACUGUUUUCACUUUGUAGGUCAUUUAUGGUUUUGUUAGUAGUGUCCCCCCCCCCCUACUUAUUUCUGACUCUUCAUAGUCCCUUUUUUUGUAGUUUUGCCCAUUGUGUAUAGUUUCUGUAAUAAAUAUCCUUGUGUCUCAGACAAGUGGCUCGUCGCCACCUUCCAUUCUCUGCCUGCACCAUGCCAUGUCCUUGACGAUUUACUACAUUUGAAAGAGGAAAAGUUAGUUGGAGGCAACCAGUUUCCUUGAAAAAUGUAAAUGCUGGACUCGUUGCCACCGAUGUCAGGAGACUGCAGCUUCUGAACCAGGAUGAUGAUGAUGCCGAUGAAGAGGACGAAGUUUAUCUGGAGAACAAACCAGGCAUUAAACCAGCAUCUGAACCACCCAUAUCAGG